rnacentral:rRNA from 1 species
UCCAGCGGCGAUAGCAUGUUGAAUACACCAGUUCCUCAUCCUAAAUUCCCAAUAUAUCAAUGAAGUUUAGCAACAUUGCGCUUGGUUAGUAUCUGGAGAGGUGACCAUCUGGACAAGCGUGUGACACUGGGU